GUAACCGGUCAUCCCAGUAGUAGUCUCCCAGGUGCGCCAUCCUGCUCGCAGCCCGAUCCCGGGCUAGGGCGCCGAAGAAGCUGGGGGAAGGCGGCACCCGAGCUGCACGGCGUGCUCAUGGGGGUGGAGGGACAGCGAGCCCCCCGGCGAUGAGACGGCCGCACUGGCUGUAUGAUGCGGUCGGUCUCCACCGGCUCCUUUUUCACUUCAAACUUCAUCAGAUCGAAGUCAUUAACAUAUUCCAUGGCCAGGGGACUGGUGGGCAGGUCGGAGUUGCUCAUCGCCAGUUCCGUUGCCAUCCUCCUGCCGCCGCCGCCGCCGCCGCCGCUCCGCCAGAUGGGCUGCAGGAGAGGGGCCAGCGGGCUGUGCUGGGCGGCGAGCGGCAAAAUCGCGAAGUCCUGGGGAAAGGCGAGGCAGAAGAGCCAAGGGGGAGGCCGAGCGGGUGAGCGGCCCGAGCUACAGCGCGAAGAUGAAAAAAGAUUUUAAAGCCUGUGAUCCAGCAAGAAGAGUUUAAAGCAAUUGCUGAGUUUUAUAGCACUCGUGACGUCAGGCCCAAAUGGGAAAUUGACUGGCACUCUGGGCCAAUGGCAGGCUGCGAGCGCGGCGGCGAUUAGCAUAAUAGUAUAGAAACAAGGAAACUUUUCGGAGCUGUCAAUCAGGGCCCAAUCAGCUGACUGUCAGCUGGGACGGGCUGGCUUAACCCUUGCCGCGCCGCGCUCCCCGGGCGCGCGAGCCAGGCCCCGCGCAAAGUUUAGCGCAAGAAGAGUAGGGGUUUUCAGAGGGACUGCGGGAGCUCGGGCGGGCCCGGGAGCACCGAUCGCUGCUCCUCUCGAGCGCGACAGGGGCCGGCCGGCCUUCCGGGGCCCCCCGCUCACCCUCUGCGGCCGGCGCUGGCACCCGCCGGACUCCCCGGCCCUGCCACCUCCCACCCAGUCCCCAGCGCCGCGCGUCGGCCUGGAGGCUUUUCCUCCUCGCUGCACCUCUGGCGUCCAGGUGUCGGCUGGGGGACCCUGCUUCCCUGGACAGCUCUGCGGUGCUCCGCGCUCAAACUUGGCUCCAACUCUGUCCCUCUCACGGUGUCGCCCGCAGGAGGAUCGAAGAGCGAGAACUAUUGUUGGACCUGGUUGGUUUGUGCCUCAACAGCGCCACCUUUCGGCAAAGGUCAGUGGACGGCGACGCGCGGCCGGUUCCGCCGCCGCGGGGAGAAGCUGCCUGCCCCGGGCGGGCCGGCGCGCAGAGUGGGUCCGCAGGCGGCGGGCGCGCAGAGUGGGUCCGCAGGCGGCGGGCGGCCCGGGCCUCGCACACAAGGGGCCGGAGACCCGGCUCGCAGGCCCCGGACCACAGCAGCCCGCGGGAGUCCUUGCGGCCGAGCCCUCUUGGCGCGCGUCCCCCCCAGCACCCCCCAGCACCCCGUCCCCCAGGGCCCCCCAACCCCACCCCAUCACCUCCCCAAUAACAGCCCUAGCCCAGAGCCGGGCUGGGUUUCCAGCGGGCUUCGCGGCGCUCUGGAGAGAAGUAAAGUUCUCUAACUCUGGGCGGUAA
rnacentral:lncRNA from 1 species